rnacentral:rRNA from 1 species
UACGUAGGGUGCAAGCGUUGUCCGGAAUUAUUGGGCGUAAAGAGCUCGUAGGCGGUCUGUCGCGUCUGCUGUGAAAACUCAGGGCUUAACCCUGAGCUUGCAGUGGGUACGGGCAGACUAGAGUGCGGUAGGGGAGACUGGAAUUCCUGGUGUAGCGGUGAAAUGCGCAGAUAUCAGGAGGAACACCGGUGGGCGAAGGCGGGGUCUCUGGGCCGUAACUGACGCUGGAGGAGCGAAAAGCAUGGGGGAGCGAACAGG